rnacentral:rRNA from 1 species
AUACGGAGGACGCGAGCGUUAUCCGGAUUCAUUGGGUUUAAAGGGUGCGCAGGCGGCCGUGCAAGUCAGCGGUGAAAGCCCGGGGCUCAACCCCGGAAGUGCCGUUGAUACUGCAUGGCUGGAAUGCGGUCGAGGCGGGCGGAACGUGGCGUGUAGCGGUGAAAUGCGUAGAUAUGCCACAGAACGCCGAUAGCGGAGGCAGCUCGCCAGGCCUGCAUUGACGCUCGGGCACGAAAGCGUGGGGAUCGAACAGGAUUAGAUACCCUGGUAGUCCACGCCGUAAACGAUGGGCGCUCGUCGUCGGCGGCAGACAGUCGGCGGCCAAGCGAAAGCGAUAAGCGCCCCACCUGGGGAGUACGGUCGCAAGGCUGAAACUCAAAUGAAUUGACGGGG